UACGUAGGGGGCGAGCGUUGUCCGGAUUUAUUGGGCGUAAAGAGCUUGUAGGCGGUUUGUCGCGUCUGCUGUGAAAUCUCAAGGCUCAACCUUGAGCUUGCAGUGGGUACGGGCAGACUAGAGUGUGGUAGGGGAGACUGGAAUUCCUGGUGUAGCGGUGAAAUGCGCAGAUAUCAGGAGGAACACCGAUGGCGAAGGCAGGUCUCUGGGCCACUACUGACGCUGAGAAGCGAAAGCAUGGGGAGCGAACAGG
rnacentral:rRNA from 1 species